rnacentral:rRNA from 1 species
UACGUAGGGUGCGAGCGUUGUCCGGAUUUAUUGGGCGUAAAGGGCUCGUAGGCGGCCUGUCGCGUCGGGAGUGAAAGCCCACUGCUUAACGGUGGGUCUGCUUCCGGUACGGGCGGGCUGGAGUAUGGCAGGGGAGACUGGAAUUCCUGGUGUAGCGGUGGAAUGCGCAGAUAUCAGGAGGAACACCGGUGGCGUAGGCGGGUCUCUGGGCCAUUACUGACGCUGAGGAGCGAAAGCGUGGGGAGCGAACAGG